AUGGUGCGCGCGAUCUGGCACCUCCCCUCCUCCCCUGUUCGGCGUGCAGGCCAACCUGGUCGGGCCGCGCUUCCUCUUGGUCGCCGGUUCUGUAUAGAAGGCGCUGGUGGUGGUGGGGAACUAGUUCGGGCGAAAUCCCUGGCCGGCCAUGACCGGCCGCGCCGACGGCGACGCCUGAGGGCGAUGUUCCCCUCCUUGCAGGCGUCGGUAUGA
rnacentral:rRNA from 1 species